CUGCGUUAACCACUCCAGUCAACAGAUGGCGAUAUGCGUUUUUUAGGCGAUGCUAUCAGAGUGACGUAUAAUGUAGUGGACGGGACGCUUCUUCAACAACAUCUCGUCAGCCACCUCGGUAGCUUCCUAGUGGAAACGUUCAAGCUGUUCAGACUGUAUUUGGAACAUAAUUCUGUCUUUUAACUAGUUUCCCCAUUUCAUGUCAUAUUUCCGUUUCGUCAGGUAACGGUAGCUGGCUUGAUAAAUGAGCCUAUCACUAGUCUAGUCGCUAACUAGCUAGGUUAGCUGGCUAACAUCCCCGACCAUGAGCUCAGCAAGCUGCUGCCCUCCUGCUAAAAAAGAGGUCUGCUGGAAGGAGAAAGAAGGUAUUUGGCUGAACGUUGUCGUGAAAGAGGAGAAUGAAGAGGAGGAUGUCACAGUAAAGGAAGAAGUCGAGGGUGAGGCUGUUACACAGAAAGAAGAGGAAGAAAACGAUUAUACUUUUUUUGGAGUGAAUGAAGGAGAGAUAACUGUCAUAUUGAAGGAGGAGGAGAGGGAAGAAGAGAAGGAGACAGAAGAUCUGAGUAACACCAGAGAGAGACCAGACUCUCCUUCUGACAGCGGGAAGAGUCCUUCAGGGAAACCAGACCCCGAGACGUCCAAACCAGCAGGACGACAUCACUGCUCCCAGUGUGGGAAGAGUUUUACUCAGUUAGGGAGCCUGAGAACACAUAAGAGAAUACACACUGGAGAGAAGCCUUACCACUGUUCCCAAUGUGGAAUGUCGUUUACCCAGUUAGGGAGCCUGCAAACGCAUGAGGGGACACACAGGGGAAAAGCUUUUCCAAUGUUCCCAUUGUGGAAAGAGUUUUGGCCAGGUAGGAAACCUGAACAAGCAUGAGAGGACACACACAGGUAAGAAGAUGUACCGCUGCUCCCAGUGUGGAGAGAGAUUUACCCGGUUAAGGUACCUGAAAGAGCAUGAAAGAAUACAUACAAAUACACAGGAGGAGAAGACAUACCACUGCUCUCAUUGUGGAAAGACAUUUUCCCAGUCAGAGAACCUGAAAACACAUGAGAGAAUCGAGAGGCUGUGUUCUGACUUGUGUUUCUGACUGAGAAUGUGUGUGUUUGUUUGGGCUGUCAGACUUGAGUUCACUCUGUGUAAUGUUAGUGCACUAUUUUUAAUUGUGAUUAAUCAAUUGUCUGAAAGGGUUAAAAACACACUGAAAACAUCCAAAAUACAUACUAUAUACAGCUAAAAUCUACAAUGCCAUGUAAACACAAGAUGACAUUGAGGUUAAAUAAAGUGUGCUUUAUCAAUGGAACAUAUUUUGACACGUCCACUGUGUGUCUCUGAAGAGUCAUAAUAUCCAUAACAACUAGAGGUCAAACAGGGAGAUGGUUCCAUUCAUUUUCCCCACAGGGCUGUGUUUUGUUUAGACUCACCCUGGUGUGAUGUUUUGACAACCAUGGAAACCUCUCUGGGACGAGGUGACUGAGGACACAGUGUGUUGUGAAUUUAUUGUCAUGUUUUUAAAAUGGUAUAAAUGCCUUUAUUUUAGCUGGACCCCAGGAAGAGGAGCUGCUGCCUUGGCAGGAACUAACAAGGAUCCAUAAUAAACCCCAGGAAGAGUAGCUGCUGCCUUGGCAGGAAGUAAUGGGGAUCCAUAUUAAACCCCAGGAAGAGGAGCUGCUGCCUUGGCAGGAACUAAUGGGGAUCCGUAAUAAAUACAAAUACUUUUAUCAAUAUAUUUGUCUCUCUCUACUCUCCGAUUCAAAUAUGCUAAUUAGCAUCGAAGUAGACAACAUGCAAGACUACAAAUCCCUGCAAGCUCCUGCAAGUCAUCUCUAGCCAACACAUUUCACAGAAUUGUCCAUUGAAAUAAAUGUUGACAAUUUAAUCAUUGCUACAUUCAGGCCUGAUUGGCGGAGUGCUACAGAGAUGGUUGUCCUUCUGGAAGGUUCUCCCGUCUCCACAGAGGAAAUCUGGAUCUCUGUCAGAGUGAACAUUGGGUUCUUGUUCACCUCCUUGAUCAAGGCCCUUCUCCCCCGAUUUCUCAGUUUGGCCGGGCGGCCAGCUCUAGAAAGAGUUUUGGUGGUUCCAAACUUCUUCCGUUUAAGAAUGAUGGCGGCCAUUGUGUUCAUGGGGACUGUUUGCUACAGACAUUUUUGGUACCUUUCCACAGAUCUGUACCUCGACACAAUCCUGUCUCAGAACUCUACAGACAAUUCCUUUGACCUCAUGGCUUGGUUUUUGCUCUGACAUGCACUGUAAACUGUGGGACCUUCUAUAGACAGGUGUGUGCCUUUCCAAACCAUGUCUAAUUUAUUGAAUUUACCACAGGUGGACUCCAAUCAAGUUGUAGAAACAUCUCAAGGAUGAUCAAUGGAAUAAGGAUGUCUGAGCUCAUUUUCGAGUCUCAUAGCAAAGGGUCUGAAUACUUAAGUAAAUACAUUUGCAAAAAAUUCAAAUCUGUUAUUGGUUUGUCAUUAUGGGGUUUUGUGUGUAGAUUGAUGAGGGGAAAAACAUAUUCAAUUUUAUAAUGAGGCUGUAACGUAACUAAAUGUGGAAUAAGUGAAGGGGUCUGAAUACUUAAUGAAUACACUGUAUACCACUGGAAGAGCUUUCUAUCAUUGGCAGUUUUGUACACAGUCAGGUGAUACGUGGUAUAGAAAGUCCAAUCUUAGGAGAGAACAUGGGAGGCACUAUACUGUGUGUCUGCAGGUGUCUAUCUGGUCAAAACCACUGAUAGAGGUGCCCCUCCACCCUCUGGUGGGAUGGAUCAUGUCUACAGAGAAACCUACAUUCAAAUACUUAGAUUUGUGAAAUUAUUAGAUAUUACUUGUUAGAUAUUACUGCACUGUCGGAGCUAGAAGCACAAGCAUUUUGCUACACCUGCAAUAACAUUUGCUAAACAAUUGUAUGUGACCAAUAACAUGUGAUUUGAUUCUGAUUUGAAAUAAAUGUCCUAUUUAUCAAAGGUG